UAUAAUAUAAAUCCUCCAUUCGUUUGAAAAAUUAUGUUUCAGAGCGUUCACACAUAUUAAAAAAUAUUUAAAUUUUAAUUAUAAAUGUAUUAUUUUUAAUGAUUAACUAUUUACCACAAUUUUUAGUCAAAACAUGUAUCAUUUUAAAAAGGAGAGAGUACAUCAAUAGUAUAAUUUCUAUUUUCCUUGUUAGCGGUUUGGCUCUAAACCAUAGUUCUGUAUAUAAAAUAGGUACAAGGAAGUGGGUCAUUGGUGACUGAAGAACAACCUCAGGCGAUGGUAAUACCAAUGGAAUACUUUUUGAUGGGAUAUGGCUUGUAUCGUCCUACACAGAGCAUAAGCCCAAGAAGUCCUUUGAGUCCAACCAGAAUCUCCCCUGAGCUUCUCUCACCUGAAAACAUGGGGUUGAAGCUCAAGCCGAUUAAGACAAGACUCUCCCUAUGACGACGCUGCCUUCUCUGCUACGGAAAAUAUUACAACAUUAUAUACCUGAUGAUACACUACGUGAAUCGCCAUUAUUAUUUUGGAGUUUGAGCUGCUCUUGUGUUAUGAUUAAAGCUGUAGAUAUAGACAGAGAUAUUGAUCAUCUAUAUAUAGAGAGAGCUAAGAGUUAAAAGAGGAAUAAGGUAAGGGAUUGAUAUAUAGUAGAGAGAAUACAGGUGUUUAUGUUUUUGAGUUCUUUAUAGUAGUUGUCUUCAGUGAGUUAUGUCUGUACAUUCGGUUGAAUAAUUAUUUAAGGAAAAAUCAUCAUAAUAUUUUAUGUCAAUUCCCAGUAACGGUGUUACUUUUCAUGUUUUAAUUGUUUUUUUUUUGUGUUUGCCUAUUGUGCUUACAUAUUAUACUAGGGAAGACUCUUUGCAGCUCAAUAUUCAGAAUUCAGAAAGAUUAAAGCAAGUUUUGAAAUUUUCAGAAUAACAAACUGAGAGAUAUGAAUAUUGAUUAAAUAUUUUCAUUACAGAUUACAAUGAAGGGACAGAAAAAAACAAUACUAAUUACAGGUGAAACAUAUGGUGAAAAAGGGCAGAGGUUAGUGGGUUCCAGGAAGCAAACAAUGUUAGGGUCAUUAUAUCAUUUGCUAAAAUGGUAUCCUGAAUGUAAAGAUUAAGAAAUGUGGUUGGUGGGUUAAUCAUUAAAAUAUUUCCAUGAAAAACAUAGGAUGAAAAAUAAUUCUAUAUAAAUACAAAAGCUGGUGAUAAAACGCCAAGAAUGUAAUGGUACUAAUAUGUGAUCGUUACUCAACAAAGGAUACUAAGUAGGUACGUUUAUUCGGUACCUAUUGCGCUGUUCCUUUUGGAUUCAUCUCCCUGUUGAUCUCUAGAUAUUAAAUUAAACAAACUCAAAUGCGACUGAGUUGUUGCUUGCAAUCAAUCAUACAAUGUGAAACACAUAUAUGUAAAAUGUCACAAGCGUACAACACACUAUGAUUUAGAAUAUUCCAUCGACUUUUCAUUACUUAUACAACCAUCGAAGUUGAUACAUGAUAAAUCAAUGAACGUUAACCAUCAGUCACAGUUGAUCAAUCAGUCAACAUGAAGCUGGUUUAAGAGAUACUGCUUCUUUCUUCUUCUUUUUUUGAACAACCUGCUCUUUCUUCUGUUGUAGAAAAUAAAUUUUAUUUUAUUACAUGUUUAAGAAGCUGAUAUCAAUAAUGUCUUUGUUUGUUUAUAUUUUUUUAUCAAUUUAAUUAUGAUGCUCAGAAUGGAGCAUAUAAUAAAUGUUACUUUUAAAAAUAAAAAGAAAUUUGAAAGUUUUGGCCGGAUUUAUAAUUAAGCAAAAGGGACUUAUGGUUUUACGCUCUUGUUGGGUGCCAAUGACACAUACCAACUCGACAAGAAAACGACAUGUGUGUUCUCACCCUCCAAUGCGAUGGGCCUUGUUUAUUGCGUAGAAAACUACACGGUGUUCAUGUUUUAAAAGGGGAGAAGACUAAGCAUAAAAGGAAAGACGACAAAAAUAAGUUGAAAUCCAACGGCUGAAGAUUCAUCAUCCUGUCUCGUAAAGUCAACAAUAUGAAAAAAAAAAAAAACAAUAUGCGGACUUUUUUCUAAAAACAUGAUUCUUUACUUUGGCCCCUGUACUAUAUAUGCAUCACUGUUAUCCUAACCCUCUAUUAUAGUACCAAAAAUUUACUUCAUGGGGUUUGAUUCGAAGGGAGAAAAAUGAGUAUUCUAAAUUACUUUCUUCUUUAUUUCUAUUUUUGAGCAUAUUAUUUCAUAGGGAUUGAUAUAAAAUAGCAUUAAAUAAAAAAAAUGAAGUAGCGUUUAAUUUUCUUAAAAUGCUUGUAUAAAAUGAAAACAGAAAAGAAAAUUACAAAUAGUGGAAAACGAGGGUGCCGACACGUUUUGGGUUUAUAAAUUGAAGUAGAAAAGUCGUAGUAUCAAUUGCAAUGAUUAAGAAAAUAUAGGGUGAGAAUGUAAUGUUUAGAAGGAGAAAGAAUGAUAAAACUGUCGGUCCCUUAACCAAGGGUUAGGCUGAUCAGGGUAUAUAGUUAGUCCCUGUGAUUAUGGUUUUGCAGGUCCUACAUUAAACCCGAGUCGACCGUCGGUGACUCAGUAACGAGUUUCCCUAUAUAUAUUUUUCUGAAGUAACAAGAAGUCUUCUAUUUGUAAACAAGAAAAAAAACGAAGAUAAGACAUUUUUGUGAGAGAGAAGAGGGAAGGCCAUGGAAAGAAGAUAAUAACUCUCUGCUUAUAUUGAAAUAUACAGAGGAGAAAGAGAGAGAUGGGAGAUUCAAGCGGUUCUGUCUCCAUUGAUAUGGAGGCAUUGUCUCCUAGACGACAGGUAAAUUAUCUUUACGAUUAUCUUUGUUUAAAGAGCUUAUUGGAUAUGUUUAAUACUUUAAUAUGUUCUGCAUUCUUCGAGCAGCUGCUUUAUUCCUCAAAAAACAUUACUCAUUUAUGUGGAUUUUAGUUUUAGAUUAUGCUAAGUGGUUUUUAGCAAUUUCUUGAAUCGUUUUGUGAUAAAACAAUGCUAGAAAAUAUUUCAUGUUGCUUCAUUACUAUGUUUGGAGCUGAAACUGGAAUGAUCAAUGAUGCUUUUGUUGUGUCGGUAAUAAUAUCCAAAACUACGAAAUGUGUUGUCUCGAUAAUCUGAUUCCACGUUUCUGCUUUACGUUUGAUUUUUAUUUUUAUUUUUUUGUUUGAUUUCUACGUUGUAUUUUCUUAGUGUCUUCCUCGAUUCAUACGCACUUUCAUUUUGGAACGUGUGAGUGAAUUUGUUGAUAUGAUUCUUGUUUCUAAUAGGAGAUUCCAAGUAUAUAUACAACUCUUCUAGGAUCAUUUUCCACGUUCCUUUCCUCAUUGUUUCUAAUAUUUCUUAAGGAUUUAUUUAUUUAUUAUCAUUGCGAAAUUCCAUAAUGAAGUUUUUGUUCUUCUAUUGGUAGUUCAGAUUUUUAAUAAUCUCUUUUGUUUGACCAAUCCGUAUUUGCUGGUUAUGAGUAUACGAUUUUAAUGGGAAACUUUGCUACUCUUAUUUUACUUACUUCCUAAACAAGUAAUAUUACUCACAAUGGAAAUGAAGGCUAUAGAACACAUUAUUUAAUUUAUGAUGUACUAAAGAAAUGUAGAGAGAGAAACAAAGGCGAAAAAGAGGCGAAAAAGUAGAUCUAGAUCUUCCCUCUCCGGUGUCCGGCGAGUUUUGCUGGCGCCGUGAGAGGGUGGGUUAUUGUCCUAAGUUCUGUUUUAUGAGGUUUGGUCGAGGUGUUGUGGUGGGUAAAGAGGGAUCCACCAAGAAGUUUGUGAUAUUCUGGUGAGUUUAUGUUUGGUUUGGGUUGUUUGUCGGUUCCUAUCUGGUUUCUGGUACGCGGUGGUUGUAUUCAGCCGGUUCAGAUGUGGGUGCUUAAGCUUUCUUGGAUCUGGUCAGACAACCUUCCAAACGAGGCAUCAGAUGUCAGAGAUCUUCUGGUCAUCUUCCUGUCAGCUUCUUUUCUUCUGGCUCUAUUUCCGGCGACCUGACUCCCGUGUUUCGGGCUUCGUCUCUGGCUUACAGUGGCUAUCUUAGCACUAUAAGGCUGGCUUUUGGCUCUGACGGUGUCCCUUUCUGUCCGGGAAUCGUUGGCCUUUGUCUCGGAUCAAUCGUUUGAAUAUGAAUCAUGUUUCAGAUUGGAAGUUUGCGUGAAGUGAAGUUGGAAACUUUGGUUUGGUCUGUUGAAUACAUUAGCGGCAGGUCCUCCUAUAUGGUUGCUUAAUUGCUUUGUGAAUGAGGAAGUCCAAUCCUCUGUUUAAUGGCUAUGAGUAGUCUUUGGAAUUCUUUUUUGGUAUAGGUAUGGCGACGGAAAGUGUAUUAGUCGUAGACUCAUAAUCAGGGGUUGGUUUGAUGAUUGUGGGGGGUUUUUGUGGCCUGGGGGUGUUAGCCUUGUAAUGGUUUGGAAACAAUGUUUAAAGUUCAAUAUAAUCUAACAGAUGACUUAAAAAAAAAGGAAAUGAAGGCUAUAAGUGUGGUCUUCAUCUAUGCAUGUUCUUACCUUUUCAUUUAUUUCGUACCCUUUCUUGGGUUGAUAGGAGCACCUUGUGGAGACUACCUAUGGCCCCGUAUGUGUUGCCGUUUGUGGAGAUCCAGAUAAACCUGCUCUUAUUACAUAUCCUGAUCUAGCUCUUAAUUGUAAGUCAGAUACUUCUUCAUCUCUACUUAUCAAAUAAGCCUUAACUUCAGUUGUACACUAUUCAAAAUAAAACUUUUGAAUUGAUGCUUGUUUUUAAUAUUUUGUUUUGUCAUGUUGCAGAUAUGUUCUGUUUUCAAGGAUUAUUGUUUUGUCCAGAAGCUAGUUCCUUGUUACUCCACAACUUCUGCAUAUAUCACAUAAGUCCUCUAGGCCAUGAGGUUGGUAACUCAAGUCUCAUCUUUUUUUACAAACUUUUUUUUUUAUUUUUCUGCUAUUUUACUGUUUUAACUGCUAUUCCAUUUCCUUGAUAAUACAAUUCAUGCUCCUUAUUACAUCUAUUUUUCAAGAGUUAUUGCAGUUGGGAGCUCCAGUGAUCAGUGUUGAUGCUCCUUUGCUCUCAGCUGAUGACUUAGCUGACCAGAUUAUUGAGGUUCUUAACUAUUUUGGGUAAGAUUUCACCUCCUGCAUAAGUUUUAUCUGAUCAUUGUUUCAUUAAGCUGCAUAUAUUCUUUUUAUAUCCUUAUCUUGUUUUUUUUUUCUUCGUUUUGUUCUAAAUUCUUUUAACUUUAUUUCUUAUUGGCUCUUAUCCAGACUUGGUGCAGUAAUGUGUAUGGGUGUCACAGCAGGAGCUUACAUUCUGACCUUAUUUGCUGUAAGUAUUUUUUACCUACAGUAACAAUACCUCUCUUACAUAUUAUUCUAUUUGAUAUCAUACUUAACUUUUCCUUGAAACUUAAAUUCUUCUAGAUGAAGUACAGGCAGAGAGUUCUGGGAUUAAUACUCGUCUCUCCACUGUGCCAAGCGCCUUCUUGGUCAGAAUGGUUGUGCAACAAGGUUUGUUUCUUCCCAAAAUGAUAACUUCGUUGGUUCUCACUUGUGGCUAUGACCUUGGUUAUCAAACAUUUCCAUAAUUUUAUGCAGGUUAUGUCUAAUUUACUUUACUACUAUGGCAUGUGUGGAGUGGUUAAGGAAUUGUUACUCAAACGGUACUUCAGCAAGGUAUAGUCUCAGUUCUCUCAUUCACCACUUAACAAAUAUGGUUCUGGUUUUAAAAAGUUUCUUAUAAAUAGCGUUUUGCAUAAGACAGUUGAUAAUGUUUGACAUAUGAUAGGAAGUUCGUGGUAAUGCUCAAGUUCCAGAAUCAGAUAUUGUUCAAGAAUGCAGAAGAGUUAGUAAUACCUUCCUUCUUUUUUUUUUUUUUUUUUUUUUGCAAUUCUCUGAUAACAUUUUUUCGAAGUAAAAAUUUAUAUGUUGUGUUCUCUACUACCCAGUUACUUUGCGAGCGGCAGAGUACAAAUGUAUGGAGAUUCCUUGAGGCAAUCAACGGGUAACUAUAGUUGAUCUCUGUUGUUUUUCAUUGUUAAGCUGAAAGUCUUAUCUUAUUGUAUAUUCUGGUUUGGUGUGAAUACAGGAGAGUGGAUCUUAGUGAAGGGUUAAGGAAACUGCAAUGCAGAACUUUAAUAUUCAUUGGUGAAAGUUCUGGUUACCACUCAGAGGCCGUUCACAUGACCACCAAACUAGACAGACGAUACGGCGCAUUAGUCGAGGUAUAAUAUAAAUCCUCCAUUCGUUUGAAAAAUUAUGUUUCAGAGCGUUCACACAUAUUAAAAAAUAUUUAAAUUUUAAUUAUAAAUGUAUUAUUUUUAAUGAUUAACUAUUUACCACAAUUUUUAGUCAAAACAUGUAUCAUUUUAAAAAGGAGAGAGUACAUCAAUAGUAUAAUUUCUAUUUUCCUUGUUAGCGGUUUGGCUCUAAACCAUAGUUCUGUAUAUAAAAUAGGUACAAGGAAGUGGGUCAUUGGUGACUGAAGAACAACCUCAGGCGAUGGUAAUACCAAUGGAAUACUUUUUGAUGGGAUAUGGCUUGUAUCGUCCUACACAGAGCAUAAGCCCAAGAAGUCCUUUGAGUCCAACCAGAAUCUCCCCUGAGCUUCUCUCACCUGAAAACAUGGGGUUGAAGCUCAAGCCGAUUAAGACAAGACUCUCCCUAUGACGACGCUGCCUUCUCUGCUACGGAAAAUAUUACAACAUUAUAUACCUGAUGAUACACUACGUGAAUCGCCAUUAUUAUUUUGGAGUUUGAGCUGCUCUUGUGUUAUGAUUAAAGCUGUAGAUAUAGACAGAGAUAUUGAUCAUCUAUAUAUAGAGAGAGCUAAGAGUUAAAAGAGGAAUAAGGUAAGGGAUUGA
rnacentral:lncRNA from 1 species